rnacentral:rRNA from 1 species
AAGGUAUUGUAAUAAGAUUUUAAUUGAAUGCUAAAAGAAUGGAAUUACAGGGAAAAGUUUUUUUAAAUUUAAUAAUUAAAGUUAUUUUAAUUUGUGAAGAAACAAUUAUGAAAAUUAAAGACAAGAAGACCCUAAGAAUUUAUGAAUUUUUGAUAUGUAUAUAUAAAUUAUUUAUACAAAUAAAAUUCUUGGUUGGGGCAACUAAAAAAUAUAUAAAACUUUUUUUUUAUUUAAAAUGACCCAUUAUUAAUGAUUAUAUGGAAAAAAUACUCUAGGGAUAACAGCGUAAUAAUUUUUGAUAGAUCUUAUAGACAAAAUAGUUUGCGACCUCGAUGUUGGAUUAGGAUACUUCUUUAAUGAA